rnacentral:rRNA from 1 species
GGUUGUUAUUUAGUGGCGGAAGGGUUAGUAAUACAUAGAUAAUCUGNCCUCAACUUGGGAAUAACGGUUGGAAACGACCGCUAAUACCGAAUGUGGUAUGUUUAGGCAUCUAAAACAUAUUAAAGAAGGGGAUCUUCGGACCUUUCGGUUAAGGNAGAGUCUAUGGGAUAUCAGCUUGUUGGUGGGGUAAUGGCCUACCAAGGUUUUGACGUCUAGGCGGAUUGAGAGAUUGACCG